AUGAGAGCUCAAUGGAAUGGCCCAUGGAUCUGUUGUGGUGACUUCAACGAGGUGCUUUCCCAGGAUGAACACUAUGGUCCUAGGGAUCGCAAUGAUUCUCAAAUUACUGCAUUCCGUGACUGCCUGACAGAUUGUAGCCUGACUGAUUUGGGUUUUGUUGGACCAAAGUUCACAUGGUGCAACCGACAAGACCCAGAGUGUCAUGUCAAGGUGCGGUUGGAUAGGGCUGUGGCAAAUGCAAGUUUCUUGAAUCUGUUUGAGGAUUGUAAGGUGGAGAAUGUGAUAACCACCACUUCUGAUCACUAUGCUAUUCACAUUUGUCUCUCUUCAAUUUCCUCAUUUUGCCAUCAGAGUCCUGUGCAGCAAGGCUUUAAAUUUGAAGCAAUGUGGCUUCGGGCUGCUGAUUACAGGGAGAUUGUGGAGCGUGCUUGGGAUGCAGGCAGGGAGGGUUCUUUGUCUCUUCACUCUACCUGGGCGAAUCUGAACCACGUCGCUAGCUCGCUUCGUUCCUGGAGUGGGGAGUCGUUCGGUUCGGUCAGGAAGAGAAUUACCAAGCUGGAGUGUCGUCUUCACACUAUCAGAUUGUCACUACCGUCUACCGCGUCUCUAAGGGAAGAACAAGCCAUUGAGAGACAACUCUGUGAGUUGUUUGAGCGGGAGGAGAUAAUGGCGCGACAACGUUCACGGAUAGAUUGGCUCCAGGAGGGCGACCGGAACACAGGCUUCUUCCAUGCCCGUGCGGCGAAACGUCGACGAACGAACAUGAUUUCCUUGCUGGAACGUGAGGAUGGUUCUAAAUGUAAGUCACAAGCAGAGAUCAAAGGUAUGAUCCAGAGGUUUUAUGACACACUGUUCACUUCUGAACCUUGUUUUUCUGCUGAUGAUAUUCUUGAUGCCAUUUCUCCCAAAAUUUCUUCC
rnacentral:rRNA from 1 species